UAAUCCACUCUUUUUAAGAAAAAAAUCAAUGUUAAAAAAAUGAAUGUUGUUCAAGGUAAAUAGUUUGCAAUCUUUGAAAUACAACAAUAGAAGUAGGAUAAUAUAAUUAUUUUUAAAAAUAAGACAAAAAUAAUGAAUUGGAGAUUUUGUUAAUAUAUCAUGGAUAAGAAUUCAAAGAAGACAUAUAAAAAAUAAAAAAUAAAUUAAAAAUAGAUAACAAAUUAAAAAUAAGAAAGUAAAUAUAUUUAAUAAAAAACUAAAAUGACUAUUGCCAAAGGCUAAAAAACUA
rnacentral:lncRNA from 1 species